rnacentral:rRNA from 1 species
UUUAAAGAGAGUUUGAUCCUGGCUCAGGACGAACGCUGGCGGCGUGCCUAAUACAUGCAAGUCGAACGAACGGAGGAAGAGCUUGCUCUUCCAAAGUUAGUGGCGGACGGGUGAGUAACACGUGGGCAACCUGCCUGUAAGUUGGGGAUAACUC